rnacentral:misc_RNA from 1 species
UUUCCGUAGGCGAACCUGCGGAAGGAUCAUUAAAAAAAGAGAAACGUCCCGUUCUUUUUCAUAAGAAUGGGUUCUAUUCCCUUAAACCGUGUCUACAUACCUUUGUUGCUUUGGCAGGCCGCCUUCGGGCGUCGGCUCCGGCUGAUAGUGCCUGCCAGAGGACCCAAACUCUAUGUUUAGUAAUGUCUGAGUACUAUAUAAUAUUUAAAACUUUCAACAACGGAUCUCUUGGUUCUG